CCUACGGGGGGCAGCAGUGGGGAAUUUUGGACAAUGGGCGCAAGCCUGAUCCAGCAAUGCCGCGUGCAGGAAGAAGGCCUUCGGGUUGUAAACUGCUUUUGUCAGGGAAGAAAUCCCUUGGGUUAAUACCUCGGGGGGAUGACGGUACCUGAAGAAUAAGCACCGGCUAACUACGUGCCAGCAGCCGCGGUAAUACGUAGGGUGCGAGCGUUAAUCGGAAUUACUGGGCGUAAAGCGUGCGCAGGCGGCUUUGCAAGACAGAUGUGAAAUCCCCGGGCUCAACCUGGGAACUGCAUUUGUGACUGCAAGGCUAGAGUACGGCAGAGGGGGAUGGAAUUCCGCGUGUAGCAGUGAAAUGCGUAGAUAUGCGGAGGAACACCAAUGGCGAAGGCAAUCCCCUGGGCCUGUACUGACGCUCAUGCACGAAAGCGUGGGGAGCAAACAGGAUUAGAUACCCUUGUAGUC
rnacentral:rRNA from 1 species